rnacentral:rRNA from 1 species
UACGUAGGGUGCAAGCGUUGUCCGGAAUUAUUGGGCGUAAAGAGCUCGUAGGCGGUCUGUCACGUCGGAUGUGAAAACUCGGGGCUCAACCCCGAGCCUGCAUUCGAUACGGGCAGACUUGAGUUCGGUAGGGGAGACUGGAAUUCCUGGUGUAGCGGUGAAAUGCGCAGAUAUCAGGAGGAACACCGGUGGCGAAGGCGGGUCUCUGGGCCGAAACUGACGCUGAGGAGCGAAAGCGUGGGGAGCGAACAGGAUUAGAAACCCCCGUAGUCC